ensembl:lncRNA
CCGGAGACACUAGUGAAGGGGAGAGGCCUCCGGGAGACACUGGUGAAGGGGAGAGGCCUCCGGAGACACUGGUGAAAGGGAGAGGCCUCCGGAGACACUGGUGAAGGGGAGAGGCCUCCGGGCGACACUGGUGAAGGGGAGAGGCCUCCGGAGACACUGGUGAAGGGGAGAGGCCUCCGGGCGACACUGGUGAAGGGGAGAGGAACAGCAAAGGGAACAGCACAGACUGAUUAAUGGGAGGAAAGCAGUGCUGAAAUUGAGCUGUGUGCUCUACACCCUGCUAUCUCUCUCUUAGUACAGUUAGAGCGCUCCCUGUUGACCCUCCUGCAGUACUACAACACAGACUAACGCCUGCUGUGAUAACCUGCCUUGGGCAGACAGACAGGCAGGCAGGACCCAACGGGCCAGAACCAUGAUGGUCUGUGUGCUUGGCGGAAAGAUAACCCUCAUAACGGACUGAUGAAUGAAAAAAUGGACGGAUGGAUGGAGAGAGCCAGAAAAGACCUGCGAGAUUAUUGAAGGACAGAAAGACUGUUGGAAACUGUAUUCCAUAAGAACGUUCUGAACUGGAGGACAGAGAAACAGACGACUGUAACACAUGAAGAGUGAUACAUGCUCCAUUUACCAAGUCGUUUCUGAUCACAGCUCCAGUAUAACAGAAAUAGUGAAAUGCGUGUACACCAGAACCAGAAGAAACAUUACCAUGAAUACUGCUUCCUUCCUUUUUGUAUUUCAAAAUGACGUUUUGAAACCCAUCGAGUUGUUGAACACUGGCACUUCAUUAGAGCAUCUUCAGGAAACAGAGCUUUUUUUCUUUAUUUCAUUCUGUUUUCUCUUAUUUCCUGUGGAUGGAUGGACGGACAUGGAUGGAUGGACGGACAUGGAUGGAUGGAUGGACGGACAUGGAUGGGGAUGGAAGGAUGGACAUGGAUGGAUGGACAUAAAUGGAUAUGGAUGGAAGGAUGGACAUGGAUGGCUGGACAUGAAUGAAUGGAUGGAUGGGGAUGGAUGGAUGGCCUUGACAUGGAUGGAUGGAUGGUGAUGGAUAGAUGGAUGGACAUGAAUGGGGAUGGAUGGGGACUGAUGGAUGGGGAUGGAUGGACAUGGAUGGAAGGAUGGACAUGGCUGGAUGGAUGGACAUGGCUGGAUGGAUGCAUGGACAUGGAUGGAUGGGGAUGGACAUGGAUGGAUGGAUGGAUGGACAUGGAUGGAUGGAUGGAUCGAUGGAUGGAUGGGGACGGAUGGAUGGGGAUGGGGAUGGAAGGAUGGACAUGGAUGGAUAUGGAUGGAUGGAUGGACAUGGCUGGAUGGAUGGAUGGAUGGAUGGACAUGGAUGGAUGGACAUGGCUGGAUGGAUGGACAUGGCUGGAUGGAUGGACAUUGAUGGAUGGACAUGGAUGGAUGGAUGGAUGGGUGGACAUGGCUGGAUGGAUGGACAUGGAUGGAUGGAUGGAUGGAUGGAUGGAUGGAUGGAUGGAUGGACAUAGCUGGAUGGAUGGACAUUGAUGGAUGGAUGGAUGGAUGGACAUGGCUGGAUGGAUGGAUGGACAUGGCUGGAUGGAUGGACAUGGCUGGAUGGAUGGACAUUUGAUGGAUGGAUGGACAUGGCUGGAUGGAUGGACAUGGCUGGAUGGAUGGACAUUGAUGGAUGGAUGGAUGGACAUGGCUGGAUGGAUGGACAUGGAUGGAUGGAUGGAUGGAUGGAUGGAUAGCCUUGACAUGGAUGGAUGGACAUGAAUGGGGAUGGAAGGAUGGACAUGGAUGGAAGGAUGGAUGGAUGGAUGGAUGCAUGGACAUGGAUGGACAUGGAUGGAUGGGGAUGGACAUGGAUGGAUGGACAUGGAUGGAUGGAUGGACAUGGAUGGAUGGACAUGGCUGGAUGGAUGGAUGGAUAGCCUUGACAUGGAUGGAUGGCUGGAAGGAUGGACGGACAUGGCUGGAUGGAUGGACAUGGAUGGAUGGCUGGAUGGUGACGGACAGUGGCUGCUCUCAGGUACUGUGGCGGGCGGGAGAGAUGGCAGAAUGAAGAUAAACAAAUAUUUAAUCUCUUUAAAAAUUGCACUUUAGAGGGGGAAAAAGUACAUGGAAUUCUGGGAUUAAAGUUUAACAUCGACAAACAGAAAUAAAGCCAGAUGUAGGAUAAUUUCUACACCCGGCCGAUGUCUGAAAGUAGUGAACCAGUACGGUUUUAUAACUACAGGUAGCCUCUAUAAAACCUGCGUGACCCAAAUGGCACCCUACUGCCAAUAUUUUGCACUAAUGACCUAAAUCAUACAGGUCCUGGUCAAAAGUAGUUCACUAAAAGGAAAAUGGGUGCUGCUUGGGACAAGCCCCAAGUGUCAAUGGGUUUUAAUGUUGCUGGUCCAAGUCAGUCACUUGGAAGUCAUCAUUUGUGCCAUUUUUAUUUUAUUUUUAACGAUUGUCUCAUUUUGAAAUGUGAAACAUGUUUUAGGCUCGCAUAUCUUUUUGUAAAUGUUCUUAAAUGAUGAGCAUUCUCAACCUGUUAAAAUCUCUGGUGACUCACAGACAUGAAAUGUGUAUUUCUAAUGUAUUUUACAUGUAUAGUUGAGACCCACUGUCACAGUAGGGUGCCAUUUGUGACACGGUCAUCAUCGUGUCACAACGGCUAACAUUACCUGUCAUAACCUGUUGUCAAAUCAAAUGUUAUUUGUCACAUACACAUGGUUUAGCAGAUGUUAGUGCGAGUGUAGCGAAAUGCUUUGUGCUUCUGGUUCCGACAGCGCAGUAAUAUCUAACAAGUAAUCUAACAAAUUCACAACAAAUACACACAAAUCUAAAGGGGUGAAUGAGAAUAUGUACAUAUAAGUAUAUGGAUGAGCGAUGGCCAAGGUGCAAUAGAUGGUAUAAUAUACAGUAUAUACAUGUAAUAUAAGAUAUGUAAACAUUAUUAAAGUGGCAUUAUUUAAAGUGACUCGUGAUCCAUUUAUUAAUGUGUCCAGUGAUCAGGUCUCAAUGUUGGCAGCAGUCUCUCUGAGUUACUGGUGGCUGUUUAACAGUCUGAUGGCCUUGAGAUAAAAGCUGUUCUUCAGUCUCUCGUUCCCUGUUUUGAUGCACCUGUAUUGACCUCGCC